CCUACGUGCGGCAGCAGUGAGGAAUAUUGGUCAAUGGACGGAAGUCUGAACCAGCCAUGCCGCGUGCAGGAAGACGGCUCUAUGAGUUGUAAACUGCUUUUGUACAAGGGUAAACCUGAAUACGUGUAUUCAGCUGAAAGUACUGUACGAAUAAGGAUCGGCUAACUCCGUGCCAGCAGCCGCGGUAAUACGGAGGAUCCAAGCGUUAUCCGGAUUUAUUGGGUUUAAGGGGUGCGUAGGCGGAUUGAUAAGUUAGAGGUGAAAUGUCCGGGCUUAACUCGGGAACUGCCGCUAAUACUGUGGAGCGAGAGAGUGGAUGCGGUAGGCGGAAUGUAGGGGGUAGCGGUGAAAUGCGUAGAGAU
rnacentral:rRNA from 1 species